rnacentral:rRNA from 1 species
CCCUUGUCUUUAGUUGCCAUCAUUAAGUUGGGCACUCUAGAGAGACUGCCAGGGAUAACCUGGAGGAAGGUGGGGAUGACGUCAAAUCAUCAUGCCCCUUAUGCUUAGGGCUACACACGUGCUACAAUGGGUAGUACAGAGGGUUGCCAAGCCGUAAGGUGGAGCUAAUCCCUUAAAGCUACUCUCAGUUCGGAUUGUAGGCUGAAACUCGCCUACAUGAAGCUGGAGUUACUAGUAAUCGCAGAUCAGAAUGCUGCGGUGAAUGCGUUCCCGGGUCUUGUACACACCGCCCGUCACACCACGGGAGUUGGAGACGCCCGAAGCCGAUUAUCUAACCUUUUGGAAGAAGUCGUCGAAGGUGGAAUCAAUAACUGGGGUGAAGUCGUAACAAGGUAGCCGUAUCGGAAGGUGCGGCUGGAUCACCUCCUUUCUAAGGA